UACGUAGGUGGCAAGCGUUGUCCGGAUUCAUUGGGCGUAAAGAGCGUGUAGGCGGCCAGGUAGGUCGGUUGUGAAAACUGGAGGCUCAACCUUCAGAGGUCGACCGAAACCAUCUGGCUAGAGUCCGGUAGGGGAGUGUGGAAUUCCCGGUGUAGUGGUGGAAUGCGUAGAGAUCGGGAGGAAUACCAGUGGCGAAAGCGGCACCCUGGCCUUGGCCUGACGCUCAUGUGCGAAAGCGUGGGGAGCAAACGGGG
rnacentral:rRNA from 1 species